rnacentral:rRNA from 1 species
CGACGGGAUGGUUUGGCACCUCGAUGUCGGCUCGUCGCAUCCUGGGGCUGGAGUCGGUCCCAAGGGUUGGGCUGUUCGCCCAUUAAAGCGGUACGCGAGCUGGGUUUAGAACGUCGUGAGACAGUUCGGUCCCUAUCCGCUGUGCGCGUAGGAAUAUUGAGAAGGGCUGUCCCUAGUACGAGAGGACCGGGACGGACGAACCUCUGGUGUGCCAGUUGUCCUGCCAAGGGCAUGGCUGGUUGGCUACGUUCGGAAAGGAUAACCGCUGAAAGCAUCUAAGCGGGAAGCCUGCUUCGAGAUGAGUAUUCCCACCCUCUUGAAGGGUUAAGGCUCCCAGUAGACGACUGGGUUGAUAGGCCAGAUGUGGAAGCCCUGUAAGGGGUGGAGCUGACUGGUACUAAUAGGCCGAGGGCUUGUCCUCAGUUG